UUUAAAUUGAGAGUUUGAUCCUGGCUCAGGAUGAACGCUGGCGGCGUGCCUAAUACAUGCAAGUCGUACGCUAGCCGCUGAAUUGAUCCUUCGGGUGAAGUGAGGCAAUGACUAGAGUGGCGAACUGGUGAGUAACACGUAAGAAACCUGCCCUUUAGUGGGGGAUAACAUUUGGAAACAGAUGCUAAUACCGCGUAACAACAAAUCACACAUGUGAUCUGUUUGAAAGGUCCUUUUGGAUCGCUAGAGGAUGGUCUUGCGGCGUAUUAGCU
rnacentral:rRNA from 1 species